CUACGGGUGGCAGCAGUGAGGAAUAUUGGUCAAUGGGCGCAAGCCUGAACCAGCCACUCCGCGUGUAGGAUGACUGCCCUAUGGGUUGUAAACUACUUUUAUACAGGAAGAAACCUCCUUACGUGUAGGGAGCUGACUGUACUGUAAGAAUAAGCAUCGGCUAACUCCGGGCCAGCAGCCGCGGUAAUACGGAGGAUGCAAGCGUUAUCCGGAUUUAUUAGGUCUAAAGUGGUUCGUAGGCGGAUGAUUAAGUCAGUGGUGAAAUCCUACAGCUUAACUGUAGAACUGCCAUUGAUACUGGUUGUCUUGAGUAUAGUUGAGGUAGGCGGAAUGUGUAGUGUAGCGGUGAAAUGCUUAGAUAUUACACAGAGCACCGAUUGCGAAGGCAGCUUACUAAGCUAUUACUGACGCUAAGGAACGAAAGCGUGGGGAGCGAACAGGAUUAGAUACCCUCGUAGUC
rnacentral:rRNA from 1 species